UACAGAGGGGGCAAGCGUUGUUCGGAAUUACUGGGCGUAAAGGGCGCGUAGGCGGCCUGCUAAGUCAUACGUGAAAUCCCCCGGCUUAACCUGGGAACUGCGUCUGAUACUGGGAGGCUUGAGUAUGGGAGAGGGAUGUAGAAUUCCAGGUGUAGCGGUGAAAUGCGUAGAUAUCUGGAGGAAUACCGGUGGCGAAGGCGGCAUCCUGGACCAUAACUGACGCUGAGGCGCGAAAGCUAGGGGAGCAAACGGG
rnacentral:rRNA from 1 species